UACGUAGGGUGCGAGCGUUGUUCGGAAUUACUGGGCGUAAAGGGCUCGUAGGCGGCCAACUAAGUCGGACGUGAAAUCCCUCAGCUUAACUGGGGAACUGCGUCCGAUACUGGAUGGCUUGGAUUUGGGGAGAGGGAUGCGGAAUUCCAGGUGUAGCGGUGAAAUGCGUAGAUAUCUGGAGGAACACCGGUGGCGAAGGCGGGUCUCUGGGCAGUAACUGACGCUGAGGAGCGAAAGCGUGGGGAGCGAACAGG
rnacentral:rRNA from 1 species